rnacentral:misc_RNA from 1 species
GGGUCAUCGUGACGUUGAAGCCCCUGUCGAACUACAUUGACUGCUUGUUGGCUCGACAUCACGUCCCAAAUCCCAUCACAGGCUAUGAUCAAGAACUCAUCCUCUUCUGUAAGCACCACCUGCCUGCAUUCUGGUUCUGCAAUGAGAGGCGAAGGAGAACCAUCAGGGAGCUUCAUGUCCCAAUCCCCCAAAGCCCUGGAAACCGAUAAAACCCCGUUGAGAUAGCCACCAUCAACAAAGCCACCCAACUCUUCUACCCGUUGCUUCUCUGGAGAAUAAACUGGCCGGUGGUCUUGAGACAUA